rnacentral:rRNA from 1 species
CGCCUCUUGAAACAUUAUAAGAGGUCCAGCCUGCCCAGUGACUCUGUUCAACGGCCGCGGUAUCCUAACCGUGCGAAGGUAGCGUAAUCACUUGUUCUUUAAAUGAGGACUUGUAUGAACGGCACCACGAAGGUUAUACUGUCUCCUCUCUCUAAUCAGUGAAACUAAUCUCCCCGUGAAGAAGCGGGGAUAAAAAUAUAAGACGAGAAGACCCUAUGGAGCUUAAAACAACAUAGCACUUAUCACACAAUUUUGACUUCCCGAACCUUCAUCACACAACAGAUAAUAUGACUAUAAGUUUUUGGUUGGGGUGACCACGGAGCAUAACACAACCUCCAUGUUGAAAGAAUCAACUUCUAAACUAAGAACCACACUUCUAAGAAUCAAUAUCUUGACAUCAAUUGACCCAAUAUAUUUGAUCAACGAACCAAGUUACCCUAGGGAUAACAGCGCAAUCCACUUCAAGAGCUCCUAUCGACAAGUGGGUUUACGACCUCGAUGUUGGAUCAGGGUUUCCCAGUGGUGCAGCCGCUACUAAAGGUUCGUUUGUUCAACGAUUAAAACCCU